UAUAUUUGUUUAUGUAUUAUGCAGUUUGUAUCUGUGUCUUUUUCCCCUCCCACUCUGUCUUUAGUUGUCAUGUUGCGUUGUGUGGUGGCGGGUGUUAUUGUUCUAUUUGUGUUUUCUGUUGAGGCUUUAUUUAUUACUAUGUGUGUGGCUUCUGUAAUCUAAGUGUCAUGUCUGUUCUAUGCGUUGAUAACACCUUAACAUCUAUGUUAUUAACUGAACCUCUAUGUUCUAAUUGAAAUGUGUACACACACACAC